rnacentral:rRNA from 1 species
UCACCAGCUUGACAUGNGAAACUCCGCAAGGCACAGGCGCUGCACGGUCGUCGUCAGCUCGUGCCUUGAGGUGUACUGUUAAGUCAGCCAACGAGCGCAACCCUAUCCAUGUUUUGUCAUGGAGACUGCCGCCUCCAAGCGGAGGAAGGUAAGGAUGACGUCAGAUCAGCGUGGCCCUUAUGCUGGGCAACACCCGUGCUACAAUGGGGUACAACCGGCACCGCGAGGGGAGCAAUCGGAAACCGCCUCAGUUCGGAUUGAAGUCUGCAACUCGACUUCAUGAAGUUGGAAUCGCUAGUAACCGUGAUCAGCACGCACGGUGAAUAUGUUCCUGGGUCUUGUACUCACCGCCCGUCAACUCAUGGAAGGUAGGGACCGAA